GAUGAACGCUGGCGGCGUGCCUAAUACAUGCAAGUCGAGCGAACGGACGAGAAGUUUGCUUCUCUGAUGUUAGCGGCGGGCGGGUGAGUAACAUGUGGAUAACCUCCCUAUAAGAGUGGGAUAACUUCGGGAAACCGGUGCUAAUACCGGAUGAUAAUUUGAAACGCAUGGUUCAAAAGUGAAAGACGGUUUUGCUGUUACUUAUAGAUGGAUCCGCGUUGCAUUAGCUAGGUGGGAAGGUAAAGGCUUUCCAAGGGAACGGUGCAUAGCCGACCCGAGAGGGUCGUCCGCCAAACUGGAACCUGGACACGGGCCCGACUCCUAAGGGGAGGAGCAGGAGGGAAACUUCCGCAAAUGGCGGAAGCCUGGCGCCACAAAGCCGGGUGGGUUAUAAAGGGCUUCGGAUCUGAAAACUCUUUUAUUCGGGAAGGACAUAUGUGGAAGUAACUGUGCACAUCGUGACGGUUACUAGACAGAAAGGCACGGCUAACUACGGU
rnacentral:rRNA from 1 species